CCCAGCAGGAGGCUGGCGUUUCUGGCAAGUGGAGAAGGAGGAGCCCUAAACUGGCCCUGGUCCCCCCAACAUGGGCACCCUGGGUCAUGAUGGGAAGGAGCCCUGAGGAUGAAAGGAUAGGAGAUGGGGACUAGAGGCAAAGCUUCAGGCUUUAUCUGCAGAGGGGAGAUCAGAGUGGAGUGAUACCUAACAGGGAAACAACAGCCUUUGGGACUCCCUGCAGGCCAGCGCCAGAGUGAUAGGCCCGCCUCACACCUGCUCUGUGUUUCCUGCACAGAAGCCACUCUGUGAGCUGAGAGCCAUCCCUGGGCCCCAAUCCAAAAACUAAUGGCAUCUGGAUCUCUGAUGGAGAUAACUCAGUAGGGAUCAGAAGCGUUGACUGGUGCAGAGAAGCAAGGAGAGAAUUUCCAGGGCGACAUCACUGAGCAGUCAGAGGACAUGGGAUCCCAGGUGCUAGUGGGGAGAUCAGCUUUAGUGACUUCCAAGUGAAGCCAGAAAACUUGGACCAGUGCUGGAAGGGUGUUUCCCCCCCCCCUUUGGCCUCUCUUAGGCUGUCCAGUCUGGAGGGGACUACAGACAAAACUCACUGGAAUAGCCCACCUGCUCUCUGCUCCCGUAGGGGACCACCAGAGGUCUGGGCUGGUCCUGCCUGCACUUGAAGACAACCCGACAACCUGACAGCCAGACUGAAAGAGUUCAGAAGGCACCUAGAAAGGCACCCAAGACACCCCUGUGAACUCUACAACUUUGUGGACCACAGGCUGGAAGCUGCCCAUCCCUUUGGGGCACCCCGUGUUAACAGACGCCUGCAUUUCACAUCAGGGGGUGAGCUGCCAUGCGGGGUUCCCCCUGAGGAUGGAGACUACACUGCAGGACACCUGUCACUCAAUAAGCCUGGGGUUCCAAGGAUCUGCUGAGAGUUUUAGAGCCCUCCUUCUUCAACCAAUCAGAAGGAGGGGGAAAGAAGUCACAUUGGCACAAGGCCUCUUCGAAGGUCCUGCAAGGCUGGCACUACCAAGGCCAAAUCACAGAAGAGAACCCAGGCCUCACCCAAACCCCUAUUUUUAAUUCAGCUCCCACAGCAGGGAGGAGAGGCAGGGCUGGCAGAGCCCUCCUGGGGUGACCUGCCACUCAGCUCCACUUCCCCCAAUACUGGCAUGAUCAGAAGCAUCUGGAACCAGAGUUUCCCUGUCAGGAGCUUUCAGGUAACUAGAUAGCGGAUCUGUGUUCUGAAGUUCCUUAAGGGUUGCCUUCCCCCAUGGAUGCCCAGUCCACCCUAGCAUCGUCUCUUUCUCUCUUGGUGCCUCCUCCUGGUGCCCAGGUCCCAUAAUCGUCAUAGCAGAUGCUCAGUAAAGACAUCCAUUGCUUCUCUGCCUUUCACACAGCCUUAAAGUCUUGUCUCAAAUUCCACCUCCCCUGGAAAGCCCUCCCUGACCUCUACCACACUCUCACAGUUUUACUGCCUCUCCAGGGUCAAGUGUUUCUGUGUUCUUACACUUCUCCCGUCUACCUCCUACCCUAACAGAAGCUUCUCAGAGCCCAGAAGAAGGCUUGGCCAUGUGAUAAGAGCUUAAUAAAUUCGGGAUGAAAGAAAUAAAGAGUGGUGGGGGCGGGGGAGAAGCAAGACACUCCUUACACCAGGCUCCCUCUUUACCUUUUUGACAUUAAUCUUUUCCAUCUGCCAAAAAUGUUCGCCUGCAAGCCCUCCUCCAAUUGCUUCAUUUUGCCCUCCUCGGGAAGAACGAAGGUGGCCGUGAUGUUCCCACUGUAGGGGAUCUCCAGGAGCGUGCAGGACAGCUGGUCGUCAUAGCCCACGUCAUACAUGCCUCCGUGGAACAUCAUGGGCACCUUCACUGUUUUGCUUUUGUCCACAAAGAAAUUUUCCUCUCUAGUUUCUUUUGGAUCAAAUCUAUGUUGCCACCUGGCUUAGGAUUGAAAGGCAAAGUGAGAUGAGUGUCCAGAGAGAAAAGAGGUGACCAGAUCCAAAUAAUCACCAGCCUCUGUCCACGCAGAUUCAGGGAAAGAGGUCUGGGUAUUCCAGGGCACCAGGGAAGAACUCCGGGAGGCUGCCCUCUUCCUGUGCCCCGGAUACUUCCCGUGAGAUGGACUCAGGUCCAGUGGCAUGUUCUCAAAGAAACGAGGAUUAGGGAUGAGGAGGUGAGGAGAGCAGUAGACUGCCCUGAGCUGAGAAAGCCUGGAGAUCAUGUCCCAGUCGGGCGGGGGGACUGGAUUGCAAUUAGUGGGGCUCUCUGGGUGUGACUUGAAUGAAGAUGCCUGGCUCUAUUUCAAGUCAUCCCUGACAAAGCCACUCUCACCUGGGGCCAAGAAAACUAAGGGGACACGCUGCCCUCGGGAGCUUGCUGGAGAGGAAUGAACGCUCAAUUCUGGGUGUUCGAUCUCUCUUUUUUGAUCCUGAGGAUGCUUUGACCCCCUCACACGUAAAUGCAGAUCUGUGUCUUUUCUAACCUGCUACCCUCACAGAUCUCAGAAUAGGUCCCUGGGAGCCAACCCCUGGGUCCAAAUCCUGGCCUCGCUGCUCUAAAAGCAUAACCUUGAUGAGUGUCUCAAUCUCCCUGGGCUUCAGUGUCCUUAAUUUGAAGAAUAAGGAUAUUGACCGAUACCUCAUAGGUUCACUUGGAGACCUGGUGGGAUAAAGCAGCCAAGCUCAAUAAGUGGAUAUAGUGAUCUUUGAGUGGAUGGUGGUCACCGUCAGCAUUAUUGGUGUCACUGUUGUUCCUGAGGUGAUGUAGGGGAUGUAAGCCCUUUGAGAAAUCCCAAAUUCAUUUUUCUUUCCCUCUGGCUUAGACAGACUGUGAUUUUGGAUUCCCCCCCCCCAACCCCGCUCAGUCACCAUCAAUUUCCUUGUGAAAUUUGGGAGAACUGAACCAUGGUAUUGACAGCCCCGUAGAGAUCUUGUCUAAACUGAGGGGCGUUGGCCUCUGUGAUUUUCACCUAUUUUGGCCAACCUCUGCGUGUGCACAUGGUAUGUGAGUGGCUGUGUGCAGAGGGGGGAACGAAGGUCUAUUUCAGGUUUUCUCUUAGACACAAGGAAGUCAGGCAAUCUGAUGAGGAGAAUAAGGCAACCCCCAAACUCAUCAUCACCACCACCAAAACACAAUCACCAUCCUGGGCGUCAACUUGGUGUAGUGGAAAAAUACCCACCCAAGGCCAAGAGAGACGGGUUCCAAUCCUGACUGUCACUGACUGCCUUUGAAACAUGGAUAAGUAACUAAUCUAUCCCCGAUUUUCAUUUUUUUUCCUCAUCUAAGAAAUGAAGAUGAGAAUGUCACUCCAACCACAUCAACUAGUGUCAUGUUAGGAUAAUCAGUGAUAAUGAAAAUGGACAUAUAGAGAACAAUUUAGACUUCAUGAAGCACUUUUCACAAAUAUUUUCACCUCAAUUCCCAAACACAACCAGAGGGGUUAUAUGUAAACGGUGUUCAAUUUAAAGACAAAGAAAGUGACUACAGUGUUUAUGAUGACCAGCAUCCACUCGGUAUUCACUAUACCACUGAAACUUAUCCAACUACAUCUUUAAAAAGCCUUAUAUGGUAUCUAUCAAUAUCCUCAUUCUAUGAAGUGAGAGAUUCAUUACGUAGAAAUUCAAGGUCAAGAGCAAGCAAGAGGCCAACCCAGGUUUUUAAUCCAUGCCUGUUGGUCAUCCUCUCCUCUCCACGCCAGCAUGUCUCAAACCUUACCUUGAAAGUAAAUGAAGUUUGCCAGAAUCAUCACAGUGCCAGGGUCUAUACUCCUGAUCAGGUUGUUGAUUAACCCCUGGGUUUUCUGACUGACAUAGCUGUUGAUCUGCUUCUGAGUAUAUUCCAAGUCCUGGAAGUUGGUGGGCACGGUUUCUGCUUCAUACAUAGUCUUGGUCUCUCUCAGGAAGUUCCGUUGUAGCUUCAGCUUCUGAUCCAGGAACAGAACGUUUCCGACCGCCAGCUUGGUGCCCUGCUUCUCCUGGUUCAGCUUGCGGAUGAGGUAAUAGAACCCCUGGUGAAGGUCUCUGGCGGGCAUCUCCCUGAAGCUGAAACCCUGCUUAAUCUCUUCCAGGGUGGAGUCCUGGGCGCCCAGGGACAGCAUGGAGAAGGCAGUGGAGAUGCUCAGUGGGGAGAAGAAGAUGUUCUGCCUGGAGCCUCUGGAGGCCAGCUUCUUGAGCAGCUUGAAGCCAAACUCCAUGUUGCGCUUUGCCAGCUCAUGGGCGAUCCUCUUUGCUUUCGACCCUUGGGCUUGGCUCAGGUCUCCAUAGCUAAGUCGAGAGACAUUGGGCGAGAGAAGCCCUUCUGUGGCGAGGAGGCCAGCCAGAAACAGGGCCAGGCCCAGUGGGAGGUUCAUUGUCCUUGGGGAUUGUCCUGUUGAGUAGCAGAUCUCAGGUUAGCAGAGAAAAUCAAAGGAGAUCCACUGUCCCACACCGUAUCCACGUGGAAGAAGACCAGGUGGAAGAAGAGACGCAGUGACUAACAGGGGCUGUAGGUAGAGGCUGCUGAGUGCUUUGACAUCCAGGAUGACAUUUAUAGCCUCCCCAUAUCUCCAUUUUAUAAGUGAGAGACCUGGGUGUUCCCUGGCACUGCACCCUUGCUCUGUCCCAUGUCUUCCUGGCCCUGGGCCCCUCAAGAGUGAUUGCUCUUGUUCACUUCCCUCCCCAUCUUAUGGUAGCAGUGAAUCCAUUCCUUUGAGGAACAUCUACUCUCCACCUCAUCAUAAGAAUGCCCCACCGUGUGGGCAUGGGACCCAGGACACGCCAUCAAAGUUCAUCCUUUAUGUCACACUGAUUAAGAAAUCAGAGUGUGACCAAGAUCAAAUUAACAGGGGUCUUUCCUGGAGAAUGCAAAGUUCUCUUAACUAUGGGGUGAUUGGCUUAAUGAUAAAGCCCCCCUCCCCCCCAAACUGAAUGUGGUCCUGACUUCUACAUGGAGAGAAGACAGGGAGAGAUGGAAAGAGAGAAAUGGACAGUGGCUCAUCAUGACAUCUUUGGAGUCCUUGGAUCAACCUUUACUGGAUGCCCACCCACCAACCUUCAUUUUUUUCUGAGUUAUGAGAGCCAAUGGAUUUCAAUUUUAGGGUUGAAUGAUUUGAGUUGGACAUUUUUUUUUCCUUAUAACCAAAAGGAGUGUGACUAAUUUGCAGAAUUGGUACUCUUUUGUGUAAGAUCAUGUGACCUCCAGGUGAUGGACAUCCUCUACAGGAGAAAGAACUCUGCCUCCAAUAAACCUCCUCCCAAGGAAGGGAAGGGGUGGUGGCAUGGAGAGGAAAAGCCACAUCUUCCUGGCUGCAGGAGUGCUCUCUCAUCAAAAGCCUUUCAGCUCUGACACCUCCCAAUGGCACUGUGAGCUUUCUGGGGACAAGAAUUUUGUUGGAUGUUUUCCUUCCAUCUCCCUCUCUCCUAAGGCGACAGAGAGCCACCAAAGCCUGAUGUUCUACAACGUCUGUUGAUUUUUCUGGUUGGGUACACUGCUUUCAUUUGGCUUUUACUAAUUUACAUGGAAAGCGAAGGCAGAUCUCUUUGCUGGGUCCUCUAUUACAUCACUUACUGUGUCACCCUAACUGACAUCUCCAGGAGUCUGUAAUUCCCGGGGAAAGGAUGAGCUCCUCAGCAGGGAAGCUGUCCCUGGUUGCUUCAGACUGGUUUCCCUGGAAGCAGGUGCAUGUCAGGGACUGACAGCUGUCUUAGGAGGAGGCUGCAGGAAGUAAAGGGAUCAGGACCAGAAAAAGAAGGAGUAGACCCAGGAUGCAGCUCCUGUAACAUCCAGCUCCACUCAGUCCUAGGGACAGGACUCUGGACAGCUGGUGACUGUGAGCAAUCCCCAGGGUGCAGGACAUGGCAUAUAUAAUUUCCUGGGACAUUAACCACUAUCAACUCCUCCUUCAAGCUGCCCAGGUAACUCUACUUUUAGCUCCAAGGCAGGACCUGAUUGGUGGAGGGCAAUCUCCUUAUCCUGCUACUGAUUGGUCCAGGAGAUCGGCCUAAUCCAAUGAGGGCAAGUUCAGGGAGGGGCAUGUGACUCAAGUGGUCCAAUGAGGGUGAGCUGUAGAACUGUUUGGUGGUUUGCUGGGAAUGCUGCCCUAAGUCGUUCCUGGAUGUCCUGGGCAGCAGACUGGCAGCUAGGGAGGGGACUCCACACAGCCCCAGGGGUAAGGGAAAACAAGCCAGAGCACAAAGAGGGCGCAUGGCAGGGCUUUGCAGAGAAACUGGGGCCAGCGCCCACCCUCCCUGCACGCUGGCAGUGAGGUUAUGUGGUCAAGGUCCUGAAGCCAGAAGCAUCUUGACAAAUAUUAUGUGUAUAUAUUUCAAUGCCAGAACCAUCAAGUGGGGGCUCCAUGCUCUGGCCUUACAUCCUUGGGGGGUUUGUGGCAUUCUGGAAAGAAUCUCCUGAGCCCAGGAGUUCUCUAAGCACCUUCCACUCUCCAGGACGAUGUUUUGGUAAAAAUUAAAAAUAAUUGGUGAUGAGCCCAGACUCCAUGGGUGAUCUGAAAAUAGACUGUAGGCAAGAAAAAGGUAGAAUCCUUAAUUAUGCUUCAGAUAAACAAAAGAAAAUAGAUAAUGGAAAGGAGCCGAUCUCAGGAGUUCCCAGGGCUGAACUGUGUUUUCCAAAGGCUGCCUGGAUUAAAAAUAGAAGUUUCUGUUAUUCCCA